rnacentral:rRNA from 1 species
AUUGAACGCUGGCGGAAUGCUUUACACAUGCAAGUCGAACGGUAGAGGGGCAACCCUUGAGAGUGGCGAACGGGUGAGUAAUGUAUCGGAACAUGCCCAGUCGUGGGGGAUAACGUAGCGAAAGGUACGCUAAUACCGCAUACGAUCUAUGGAGGAAAGCGGGGGAGUGCCAGACCUCUCGCGAUUGGAGUGGCGGAUGUCAGAUAAGGUAGUGGGUGGGGUAAAGGCCUACCAAGCCGACGAUCUGUAGCUGGUCUGAAAGGACGAUCAGCCACACUGGAACUGAGACACGGCCCCGACUCCUACGGGAGGCAGCAGUGGGGAAUUUUGGACAAUGUGCGCAAGCCUGAUCCAGCCAUUCCGCGUGCAGGAAGAAGGCCUACGGGUUGUAAACUGCUUUUGUACGGAACGAAACGGUGCUCUCUAAUACAGGGCGCUAAUGACGGUACCGUAAGAAUAAGCACCGGCUAACUACGUGCCAGCCGCCGCGGUAACAC